rnacentral:rRNA from 1 species
CACGCCCUAAACGGUGCACACUAGGUCUUAGCGGAUUCGAUCCCGCUAGGGCCCAAGCUAACGCGUUAAGUGUGCCGCCUGAGGACUACGGUCGCAAGACUAAAACUCAAAGGAAUUGACGGGGGCCCGCACAAGCGGUGGAGCAUGUGGCUCAAUUCGAUGCAACGCGAAGAACCUUACCAGGCCUUGACAUGCACUAGACCGACUCUGAAAGGAGUCUUCCCUUCGGGGCUGGUGCACAGGUGC